rnacentral:rRNA from 2 species
AUCUGCMSAWUUCGCCCUUAGAGUUUGAUCCUGGCUCAGGACGAACGCUGGCGGCGUGCUUAACACAUGCAAGUCGAACGUGAUCCGGAGCUUGCUCCGGUGAAAGUGGCGCACGGGUGAGUAACGCGUGGAUAAUCUGCCCUGGUAUCUGGGAUAACAUCUCGAAAGGGGUGCUAAUACCGGAUAAGCCUACGGUCUCUUCGGAGUCUGCAGGAAAAGGUGGCCUCUAUUUAUAAGCUACCGUAUCAGGAUGAGUCCGCGUACCAUUAGCUAGUUGGUGGGGUAAUGGCCCACCAAGGCUACGAUGGUUAGCUGGUCUGAGAGGAUGAUCAGCCACACUGGAACUGAGACACGGUCCAGACUCCUACGGGAGGCAGCAGUGGGGAAUUUUGCGCAAUGGGGGAAACCCUGACGCAGCAACGCCGCGUGAGUGAUGAAGGCUUUCGGGUCGUAAAGCUCUGUCAGAGGGGAAGAAAUGAGUCUGGYUAAUAUCCAGAUUUCUUGACGGUACCCUCAAAGGAAGCACCGGCUAACUCCGUGCCAGCAGCCGCGGUAAUAC